ACAGAGCUUCCCAUUUUUAGCAGGUCAUCCCAUGAUGCACCGCGCCGUCAACGGCUUCAGUCAUUCAAGUAACGUUAGCUCAGAUCUGGUGCUUGUGAGAGCGUCUGUUCUUGUUAGGCCAUCUGGGUUCGGGUAACCUGUGUCCUGAAUCGGACCGGACCCUGAACGGGGGCUUAACUCUCUCAUUUCGAGGUGAACUUCCCCGGAAUUACCGGCCGGUGACGGGAAGCGAGCGUUUGGGCGGCAGAAGCGGUGCUGUCAGCGAUAUAACAACAGAAAGCGUUCACUAUACAAAUAUAAACCGACGGCGGGCAGAACUGUGGGAAUUUGCUAAUACUUUAAAAGCAACUUGAUGGCUUUAGAGACCGGAAGAAACGAACUGGGUGCGAUGGGAGAUUCGCUGCAGCCGCAGACCCCCAGUCGCCACGAGAAAAGUCUUGGGCUCCUCACGACUAAAUGUGUGACUCUGCGAAGGACGGAGUGCUGGAUCUGAAAGCUAGUUGUAGACGCUCGUCUCUCAAAAUGCCGCAGCAAAAGGAUAUAGUAAAGAUUGCCAUUCAGAUGCCGGGCGCAUACAAGUGGAACAGAGUAGUGACAUAAAUAGCAUUCGUCUCAGUGAGCUGAAGGAACGUCUGAAGCCGGAGCUUCUGGAACUCAUCAGACAGCAGAGACUAAACCGUCUGUGUCACGGGACGCGAGGCAAGACAAGCUGUGGUAUUGUCGUCUCUCUCCUAAUCUCAAAGUCCUGCACUACGGAGAUGUGGAUGAGGAGACGGAAACGCCCUCCAUCGAGGCUCUUCAUGAAAAGAGUAAGUGCACUCACACAUAAUGUGUUAAAUUUUAACACAUGUGCUGAAUCAGCUCAGGGACAACACAUAUUGUGUAAAAUUUGACACAUCUGUUCUAAGAGUUUGAAAA